rnacentral:rRNA from 1 species
AUUGAACGCUGGCGGCAUGCCUUACACAUGCAAGUCGAACGGCAGCACGGGUGCUUGCACCUGGUGGCGAGUGGCGAGCGGGUGAGUAAUACAUCGGAACAUGUCCUGUAGUGGGGGAUAGCCCGGCGAAAGCCGGAUUAAUACCGCAUACGAUCUACGGAUGAAAGCGGGGGACCUUCGGGCCUCGCGCUAUAGGGUUGGCCGAUGGCUGAUUAGCUAGUUGGUGGGGUAAAGGCCUACCAAGGCGACGAUCAGUAGCUGGUCUGAGAGGACGACCAGCCACACUGGGACUGAGACACGGCCCAGACUCCUACGGGAGGCAGCAAUGGGGAAUUUUGGACAAUGGGCGAAAGCCUGAUCCAGCAAUGCCGCGUGUGUGAAGAAGGCCUUCGGGUUGUAAAGCACUUUUGUCCGGAAAGAAAUCCUUGGCCCUAAUACGGUCGGGGGAUGACGGUACCGGAAGAAUAAGCACCGGCUAACUACGUG